rnacentral:rRNA from 1 species
CGGAGGAUCCAAGCGUUAUCCGGAUUUAUUGGGUUUAAAGGGUGCGUAGGUGGAUCUUUAAGUCAGUGGUGAAAGCCUAGAGCUUAACUCUAGAACUGCCAUUGAUACUGAAGAUCUUGAGUGCAGUUGAGGCGGGCGGAAUGUGUCAUGUAGCGGUGAAAUGCUUAGAUAUGACACAGAACACCGAUUGCGAAGGCAGCUCGCUAAACUGUAACUGACACUGAGGCACGAAAGCGUGGGGAGCAAACAGGAUUAGAUACCCUGGUAGUCCACGCCCUAAACGAUGAUUACUCGAUGUGUGCGAUAUACUGUACGCGUCUAAGCGAAAGCAUUAAGUAAUCCACCUGGGGAGUACGGUCGCAAGAUUG